UACGAAGGGGGCUAGCGUUGUUCGGAAUUACUGGGCGUAAAGCGCACGUAGGCGGGUUGUUAAGUCAGGGGUGAAAUCCUGGAGCUCAACUCCAGAACUGCCUUUGAUACUGGCAACCUAGAGACUGGAAGAGGUUAGUGGAAUUCCCAGUGUAGAGGUGAAAUUCGUAGAUAUUGGGAAGAACACCAGUGGCGAAGGCGGCUAACUGGUCCAGCACUGACGCUGAGGUGCGAAAGCGUGGGGAGCAACCAGG
rnacentral:rRNA from 1 species